rnacentral:lncRNA from 1 species
GCUCGAGUGCACGUACAGAGAGCUGUUCUGGAUUUUAUUUUGAACUAAAAUUGGGUUUAAUUCUAAGGACUUAAGGCCUUAGUUUGGGAGGUCUUAAGGGGCUAAUCCAAGGAUUGGACUAGGAUUUAGUCCAAUGGAUGUGUGCAAGGCAAGACAUGAGUGUACAUGGGCUUAGAAAUUGCAUCAAAUUGGAUUAGCUAGGGAAG